rnacentral:rRNA from 1 species
UACGAAGGGUGCAAGCGUUAAUCGGAAUUACUGGGCGUAAAGCGCGCGUAGGUGGUUCAGUAAGUUGGAAGUGCAAUCCCCGGGCUCAACCUGGGAACUGCUUUCAAAACUGCUGAGCUAGAGUACGGUAGAGGGUGGUGGAAUUUCCUGUGUAGCGGUGAAAUGCGUAGAUAUAGGAAGGAACACCAGUGGCGAAGGCGACCACCUGGACUGAUACUGACACUGAGGUGCGAAAGCGUGGGGAGCAAACAGG